rnacentral:ncRNA from 1 species
UUAUCGCCUCGAGACAAAGCAAUUGUUUGUGAGAAAGUUAAACUCAAAUGAUAAGAGACUGUGGUAAAUACUGAUAAUAUUUA